GUUUCCAAGAUCCUUCUUGUAUUCCACCUCACUAACAAGCUUGUUAGCACUCUGGGCUUGUUUAAGGACCAGGUUGUCUUCAGCUGUUAGAGAGUGAAAGUGAGCUGCACCUUUCAUCUUGGAAAGAUCUUUCUUGUAUUUUAUAUCACUUGCCAAUUCAUUUGCCUUCUUGGCAUUUUGAUAAGCUGGAGUGAUCAUAGCAGGAAAGCUUCCUUUCCCUCUGCGUUCUUCAUACUCAUUCAUAUAAUCCUAAGGAAAAAUCAGUGUUUAUUCAUCACAUACAUGUAGGGUGGUGUCACGGAUGGUUUCACAAAACCCCAUAGUCCUCGCUAGCAGUAAAGUUCAUUACUUUGUUAUUAUUACUUUUUUAACAAAAGAGAAAGUAAG
rnacentral:lncRNA from 1 species